UUUGUUUAAAUUUUGGAAUAAUAGUCAGGUAAUAGUAAUACUAAUUCAUAGGCCUAACAAGUUCAUAUUAGGCCUAUACUCCGGUUAUUUACACAAUGGAGGAGAGGGGAGAAAGAUAGAGUACUGUCAAUAUCCAUUUAGUACCCUAAACUGUUACUGCUAAAUGCAGACCUGAAAACGGCGUGAUAGAAAAAUCAGUUAAUCCUAAUUUGCUUGUAUUUUUGGCUGAAAUCGAGCAUCAGAAAGUCUUCUACUUUGAUUAUGACUAUGUGAAAUCGAACCCCUCAUUACACUUUACAGUUGGAGUAACUGAUUUUUCUAUCACGACUUUUUCAGGUCUGCGUUUAGCAGUAACAGUAGGUGCCUCAACAGGCUGGCCCUGAUUUUUCAUCUCAGUUACAAUAUGUUGUUCAUAGUCGAGGGCAGAGAACAGACUGAGGAACUUCUAGAGCAAAGACUAUGAUGUUGAAAUAAGCCGCUUAUGAAGCUGCACCACUGGUGCAUGACUCAACCAUGUAUGUAGCCAUUUUUCUGAAGGACUGCCGUAAGAAAAAAAAAUUGAAACAUUUAUUUAAUGAAAUAGGAAGGUAGGAGAGAAAAAUAUGAUUAUGGAGAUAACUUUGAUCCUCCUUAGGCACCUACAGCUUUAAGGUUUGGUUGGGUAAGAGGCUUGGUGUUCAUGCAAUAGGAAUCAUCAUUAAUAAUAGUUGAUGUAGAGUCUGAGUCCAGUAAGUAAAUGCCGAUUCUUCUGGACUUUAUAUUGGGCAAUUGUGAUCCAAACAUGUCAUUAAUAAUAGUUGAUGUAGAGUCUGAGUCCAGUAAGUAAAUGCCGAUUCUUCUGGACUUUAUAUUGGGCAAUUGUGAUCCAAACAUGCAAUAUAGUUUGUGCUAUCUGGUAGAAAAUCAGCUGGUUGUAAAUCUUUUUGCUAUCUGUAAUGAAUUAUAUGCAAUCUGACCCUUUUGCCUCUUUUUUCAUGUAUAAUGAAACGAUCUUUAUUUGAAGCCCGUGAAGAACAAAAUGGAAUGGAUAUUAGCUCAGAGGUAUCCCAUGUUGAGUGGGCUUUAAGGGUGAUGAGAUUGAAGCUGAAGAGAAGGAAUGGUCUGAAGUAAAAACAAAGCAUGAACUUGCUGCUUGAUUUUGGCUUCGAAGGUACUGCUGAUUGCUGUCACGCUAUCACCUGGCUUAAAAUGGUGAUGGGUAAGGGGUUUCUAUCUCUUUAUUACAUGAAGAUUUAUGAUUGUGAAGGUGCUGUUUUGGGUUGCUGCCAUUGUUCGGAGAGUAUGAGAUUUGUUCUCUUUGGUGAUAAUGGUACGAUGGAUGAACCUGAGUUCUGUUGCUGGCCUUUGCUUUAUUACCAUAUAUGGCUUGUUUACUUGAUAUUGUGGGUUCUUUUGAUUGUUGGGAUUGCCUAUGUAAUUUUUUUCCUCUCUCAUGAUAUAUGGGCAGUUCUGAUUUUGUAGUAUUGAAUCAGUUUUGGCUGCAAACUGACAAGGCGACUCGUCUUCUUAGGCAGAUAGUCUCUAUAACUAGCUUAGUAUAAUGCCUUCUCUUAGCCUAAUUGAGAAUAAAUGCCUUGCUUUUCAGGUUUUCAUUUAGUUUCUUUUCUAGUCUGCAUCUUUGUAUGUCCUUACAGAUUUUGAUUCCUUGAUCACUUUCAGCUCGUGUGCAAUGGAGCAGAGUCAAUUUACUUGAAGGGGAGAUAUUCUGAAUUUUGAUAUAGGAUAGUGGAAAAGAGGAGAGUGAGAGAGAGCAUACAACCUAUAAUAAACUUAAGAUAGGUUUUCUUAUAAGAGGUGUAUGUAAUACGCAACCAAAUUCCCAAGCAAAUAGGCAAUCAAAUAAAUAUUCUAUGACCUAUGCAAAACCUUUAGGGGGUGUUUGGUAAAUGGGAAUAAUAAUCCCUAAUCUUUGUAAACCCAUGUUUGGUUGGUGGGAAUUAAAAAAAAAAAAAAAAAAAAAAAAAA